AUCGCUUCUCGGCCUUUUGGCUAAGAUCAAGUGUAUCUUAGUGCUCCGUUAAAAUUUUUUAAAUUUUGUUCCAGUUUGAAUUUAUUCAAACAACCAGCCAUACAGCCAUCUGAGUCUGCGCAGUUGAGAGGUCUUUUAGAGACACUCAGCUAAACUCUCUCUUUUGGUUGGCCUUGCU